GUUACAAUGAAGGGACCCCAGUGUGGAGCUGGGCUCCUGGACUCAUUUCUGCUUGAACUGCUUCAUUUCUAUGGUUAUCACAUCAGCAACCUUGACCUCAUUAAGCUGAGAAUCCAGAAUAUCGUCUGAAUACCUAAUGUGAGUCAAGUGCUGUACUCCGUUAAUUUUCACAUUUCUUCAUUCAAGACUAAUAUUUGUUGAGAGCCUGUUUUGUUCCAGAUUCUCUUCUAGGUGCUGGGAACACAUCUUUGAACAAAACAAAGCCCCCCUUCUCAUAAAGUUUACGCUCCAGCGGAGGCAUGCAGAUAAACAAGCCCACCAAACUAAGCUAUCUAUGUCCUACGUCAGGGUAGAAGAUGUGAUCCAGAAGGGGAAGUAGUGUUUGAGCAAGGAUCCGAAGCAAACGUUACAUGAGGCCAUGUAAAUACCCACAAGGGUGUUCCAGGUAGAAGUUACAGGUCCACAGUGGCCUUGAGACAGAAGAGUACCUGGCACGUCUGAGAAACAGCAAGGAGACCCAAGGCUGGAGAUGAAAUAGCUGGUGACAUGGAAGUAGUUAUCAGGGAGCUCACCAGGGGCCAGAUUGUGACCCAUCAUUGAAGGCCCUCAGAAGGAUUUUGGGAUUUUAUUCCACUGAAAUGGAAAGGCCUUGGAGGGUUUGAGUGUAGAACUGACGUUUUGAAAAGAUCAUUGCUACAUGUAUGGAAUAUAUCGAUUGCGUGGACUGUGCUGUGAUGAACACGGUGUCCCUUUGUUCCCGUGUACGAUGAUAAUGCACACACUCAACCCGGAGUGUUGUCCUGUUUAUGAGGCAAAGUGUGCUUCAAUUAUUGUUCCACGGAGUGAUAUGCCUCAUGUGAUGAGAUGCCUUGGACGAUGCAGUGCUUGAAGGACUUGCUGUUGCCUACGCGUGUCUUUAGUUGAAGUCUGUAGAAUAGUUUAGCCUAUUUCAAAAGUUGUCGUGACACUGAGAUCUGGAAAUGUUCUGUUCCACCCUUUUUGCUCUUUACAGCUCAUAAAUGCUCUAGCAGACCCGAGUCUGUCUGCUGGAAUUAGGAAGUGGUGGUAAGUAUCUUAGUUCAGUAAGUCCUAACUUAAAGUAUUGUGGCUUAAAAAACAUCGUAUUGUAUAAAAACUGGGAUCUUUUUCAAGCCUUAUUAAGAAGUUUUGCCUAAUGUCAAAAGUGACUAAUAAAGGGACAAGGCAUCUUGUUUCCA
rnacentral:lncRNA from 1 species